AAAAUGUCCUACCUUUUUUGUCGAUCAGACAUUUUCUAAUAUUUUUCCUCUUCACAUCCCAACAAAGAAAAACCUCAUUCCCCUUCCCCCUUCGUUGCGACCCAGACCCGAUGCUUGCCGCCAGCCAGCAACGCUUCCCAGCACCAGUCAUCAGCGUUCAUCUUUGAUCUUCCCCCUUUCUGCCUUUCAUUGCCAAAAUCUGCACUGCACCAGUCGACAAACAAACCAGAAAAUUCACCACCGCUCUUCCAACCUCGUUUUCUCUUCCUCCUAUUUUACCCGUCCCUCCACCUAAUUUGGAGUAGAAGUUGAGAUUUCUUUGUUUUCAUUGGUUUUCUAUGCUUUCUUGCAUCUGUUCCAAAAUGCGUUUUUUAGUCCCUGGAGUAGAAGUUGAGAUUUAUUUGUUUUCAUUGGUUUUCUAUGCUUUCUUGCAUUUAUUCCGAAAUGGGUUUUAAUUCUUCUAUUUCUUGGUGCUCAAAUUGGUUUCUGAUGUUUUCUUUUUUCAUAUCAUGGGAUUUUAAUCUCUUUUUUUGCUCUAAUAAUCAUUGGCUCUAUUGCAGUUGUUGCAACAUUUGCGGGAGGUUUGCAACUUAGACAUGUUUACAUUAUCUUCGUGCAAGUAAGAUGCUCUAUGAAUUACUGGUGUUAUCAUAUUGUCUUGAUUGUAUAUUAUUAUUUGUGGCUUAAAGAACCGGUGGUAUUGAGCAAUUGGCUGGAUAUGAUGCAAGGAUGGUUCUGAUUUAACAUGUGCAGAUGUUACUGAUGGAGAAAAGAUAGUUAAAAAAAUAAUUAUACCAAGCAGAUGUGAUUGAACCAACUUGACUUUGAAGAUCGCUUCGUCACAUAUCAAAUUGAGAGAUUGAGAUUGUGGUGGGAAAAGCUGAGAAACUUGGUGCUAUCAAUGCAGUUGUAUCCUCAAAGAAAGUUUUUGAUUAGAAGGCAUAGAUAUUAAAGAAAAGCAGUAGCAUUGGAAACUCACUACUUGUCAUGAAUGAUCUUUCCAUGAAAUAGGAGAUAGUGGAGCUAAGCCUUUCUGUCUGUGUAUGUGUUUUUCUUCUUUUAUCAAUCUUUUAUAAUAUUCGAGUAUCAAUCUACUGUACAGUUUGCACAGAAAGUUUUUAAAAGGAUGUAUUUUGUGAAUAUCAUUUUGAGCAUAGCUGCAUUGUCA